CGAACGGUAACAGGAAGCAGCUUGCUGCUUCGCUGACGAGUGGCGGACGGGUGAGUAAUGUCUGGGAAACUGCCUGAUGGAGGGGGAUAACUACUGGAAACGGUGGCUAAUACCGCAUAACGUCGCAAGACCAAAGAGGGGGACCUUCGGGCCUCUUGCCAUCAGAUGUGCCCAGAUGGGAUUAGCUAGUUGGUGAGGUAACGGCUCACCAAGGCGACGAUCCCUAGCUGGUCUGAGAGGAUGACCAGCCACACUGGAACUGAGACACGGUCCAGACUCCUACGGGAGGCAGCAGUGGGGAAUAUUGCACAAUGGGCGCAAGCCUGAUGCAGCCAUGCCGCGUGUAUGAAGAAGGCCUUCGGGUUGUAAAGUACUU
rnacentral:rRNA from 1 species